AAUCCAUAGGUUAAUGAGGCGAACCGGGGGAACUGAAACAUCUAAGUACCCCGAGGAAAAGAAAUCAACCGAGAUUCCCCCAGUAGCGGCGAGCGAACGGGGAGGAGCCCAGAGCCUGAAUCAGCAUGUGUGUUAGUGGAAGCGUCUGGAAAGGCGCGCGAUACAGGGUGACAGCCCCGUACACAAAAGCGCAUGUGCUGUGAGCUCGAUGAGUAGGGCGGGACACGUGGUAUCCUGUCUGAAUA
rnacentral:rRNA from 1 species